rnacentral:lncRNA from 1 species
GAAGAGGAGGAAGAAACAAGGAGGAGCCAACUGAAAAAAUAACCAGAAAAAUAGCUUGUGAGGUUCGACUGAGGCUGGAUUCUUCGAUGGAGGUGUGCCUUUCUGAAAAGGCUGGGUGGUCUAGGGACAGGGGACCAGAGUGGCCUGAUGCCUGCUAAGUAUUCCUCUGCUUUCUCCCCCGAACUUUGCAGAUGAGGACAUCCAGGUCUCUGUCUAAGGUAAUAAGAUGAGGCAGUGAAUCUUGAAAUUCUGCUCUAACUAGCCCUAAAUGGGGGACCAGAUCUGGUCAUAUUUAGCUUUCAAAGUGAAGAGGCAGGUUGUACCCUGGAGCAUGUGCAUGUUGGGGUCCGGCCUACUGCAAUGAGAAUGCAAAUCAGGGAAGGGGGAAAGCAGAAUGCCCAGGAAGAGGACAUGGAUGUGGGACAGGCAGUUGGAGAUUCCACCCUUCUGUGUUCCUCUUUCCUUCACCCUGAUGUGGAGGUCACAUGAUCAGGUCAGUGUGACCCGUAAUGGGAAUGUGCUCCUGCUUGGCUGGGUUCAUGAACCAUCUCUUUACUUCCCCAGCACCUAAAAUAUCAUCCUUGAGUAGAGAUUCAUUUAUUUGGACAGAUAAUUCCUUUUCCUGGCAUUCUUUUUGAAAACUUAGUGGCGUUUGAGAUGGGAUUCUUGUGUGUGAAUUAAGCAAUUAGGAAGCUUUCCUUCCGAAAAUAAGGGCCAGGGUGCAGGAGAGCUCUAGUGGGAAUGAAAGCCACUAGGAGAGUGAAUGAAGCCACACUGGGAAACAGUGGGUGACCAACCAGAGAGAGUGGAAGUCAAAGCUCCGUUGACUCCUAGACUCCUUGGAGUUGUCUCAAGUCUUUCAGGACAAAUACUAGGAUGUCCGGCUCCUCCUCCUCUUUCUUUCCUUCUCCCCUUCUUUCUUUCCUUCAGGAAAUAUUUAAGUGCCUAUAAGCAUGAGAUACUGUGUUAGGCUUUGAGAUCCUAAGCUGAGACCCAGGUCUUUUAGUAAAGAGUCUGACAGUCCAGCAGAAGAAGAGCUCAAGGGUGGCUAAAUUCACCAAGUGAAUGAAGGUGGCAUGAAGUGGAGGAAGCUCUACUCCAUUCCCAGUAGAAAUGGAGCAGGCGCAAACAUGUUGAGAUGUGAAACAGCAAGACGUUUGGAAACUGUAGAAAGGGUAGGGCGAGGUCAUGACAAGGGAUGAGGCUGGGAGUAUUUUGUUUCAGGACUUCUGCACCCUGAGAAGUCACAGGGAAAUGUAGGUGAGGUAGUAACGUGGCCAAUGCUCACAUUUAUUCCUAAGGCCACUCUGGCAGCUUCAUAGAGGAAGGGCAGGAAAGGAAACCAUGGAACUAGGGCACUGGUGGAUACUAAGUCUGAAAGUGGUGUCUUUAUUCUCACACAAUUAUUCUAUUCAUAGCAAGAGAAUCAUAAGUGAUAAUUACAAGUUUGAUAGAACAUUCUCGCGCUUGUUCCUGCAAGGGAGAGGCUCAUGAUUAUUGCAGUCAGCUUAUGUUGAUUAAUGUGGAUUUGCUGUGGAGGCCCUUCCCUGUGAUAUCUUACAAAGAGGCAGUCUACAGCAGACCCUACUCCCCAAGCAAGGAAAAUGACACAUAAAAAUCCUACCCUGACAGGCACCGUGGUGCAUGCCUGAAAUCCCAGAGGCUGGGAAGGCUGAGAUAGGAGGAUUGCGAGUUCAAAGCCAUUCUCAGCAAUGGCAAGUUGCUAAAGUGACUCAGUGAGAUCUUCUCUCUAAAUAAAAUACAAAAUAGGGCUGGGAUGUGGCUCAGUGGUUGA